ensembl:lncRNA
CUUAGUUCUGACAUGGGGUCUAGUUCCCUGACAAGGGAUCGAACAUGGGCCCCUCGCAUUGGGAGUGCAUUGUAACCGCUGGACCACCAGGGAAGUCCCGGCACUGGGGAAUAUUAAGGACUGGUUACAUUUCAAGGGCUCUGUAGACACAUGUGGACAGUGGAUAGCUGCAUUGGAGAGUGCAAGGUAACAGAAUCCUCAAGUGAGUGAAAAUCCUUCCCACCAGUAUUUGCGCUUUCACUAUCUGCACUGGCCAGUAUGGUAGCCCCUACCCACAGGUAGUUCCUGAUCAUUUGAAAUGUGACCAGUGCCACACGCUGAAAAGAUAAUAUUUAGGGGCUUCCCUGGUGUCUCGGUGGUAAAGAAUCCGCCUGCCAAUGCAGGAUACACAGGUCCGAUCCCUGGUUCAGGAAGAUUCCACAUGCUGUGGAACAGCCAAGCACAUGCACCACAGCUAUUGAGCCUGUGCUCAAGAGCCCGGGAACCACAAUUACUGAGCCCAUGAGCCACAACUGCUGACGCCUACACGCCCUAGAGCCUGUGCUCCACAAUGAUAAAACUGAGGCCCCAGCAUGUGGCCACCCAGAGGUCACACGGCUAGUGAAGCGGUGUGUGUGUUCAGUCACCCAGUCGUGUCCAACUGUGCUACCCUAUGGACUAGAGCCCACCAGGCCCCUCUGUUUGUGGAACUUUCCAGGCAAGAAUACUGGAAUGGGUUGCCAUCUCCUACUCCAGAGGAUCUUCCUGACCCAGGGAUGGAAUCUGCAUCUCUUGUGUCUCCUGCAUUGGCAGGCAGAUUCUUUACCGCUGUGCCGCCUGGGAAACCCUUGAAACCAGAGUCCAAUCUUCCUAGACUCAUGCUGCUGCUGCUGCUGCUACUAAGUCACUUCAGCCGUGUCCGACUCUGUGCGACCCCAUAGACGGCAGCCCACCAGGCUCCGCUGUCCCUGGGAUUCUCCAGGCAAGAACACUGGAGUGGGUUGCCAUUUCCUUCUCCAAUGCAUAGACCCAGUCAAGAACCUGGAAGAGCAGAAGGAAAAGGUUUAUUUUUCCUCCCCUCCAAUAUAUUUAAGGAAAAAAUAAAAACGUUAAUAAUAGAAGCCUCUGUCACUUCCUACUGCCUCCAAGUAUCCCCUCCCUGUCGCAUGAUGGUCUCUCUACCUACGAGGUAACUACCAUCCUGAAUUUUGCAUUAAUCAUUCUCCAGUUUUCCUUUCUCAGUGGUUCUCAAGCCGUUAGAAUCACCGAAAGAGCUUGUUAAAACAUGAAUUUCUGGGUUCCACUCCCCAAGUUCUGAUACAGUAGAUCUGGGGCGAGGCCCAAGAAUUUGUGCCUCUUGUAAAUUCUCAUGUGGUGCCGAUGCUGCUGAUCCCAGACCUACACUUUGAGAACUGCUUUAUCUCAAAGACACUCCUGC